rnacentral:tRNA from 1 species
GGAAACGUGGCUCAGUGGUAGAGUGCUUGCCUUGCAUGCAUCAGGCCCUGGGUUCAAUUCCUCAUCACCA